GAGACACUCUGUGCCAGCUGGGGAACAUCCUUCUCCUUGGCUAAGUUCAGAAUCACUCCCAAACCAAUCCGAGCAAUCCGGUCCCUGAAGGAAGGAGAAGCACAGGCAGAUGUUUCCCUGUGGGACACAGCUGCCAGGUAUGCUGUCUGAUGUGAUGCAGUGAGAUGUGACAGGCUGGUGGUGGAAGAACCUGUCUGGGUCUGAUGGAAGAGCUCCCGCUGGGAUAGGACCACUGGGUGGUGGUGAAUAGCCCAGGACCACCACAUCAGAGGCUCUCAUGCUUGAGAUAAGACAUACAUAGCAAUCAACAGCACGUGAUAGGCAAAUGCCAGGCUAGAAAUAGAUCUGCUUAGUCAGCUUUGCUGGGGGUGUGUGAGCUGCUUAAUGUUUGGGGGUGAAAACUUGUUUGUCUCUCAUUAGUGCUGUCCUCUGGCUGCUCCCCAGAUGGGUGCCAAGCCCAGGACAGGGGUUUCACAUCUGUCUGAGCAACCACACAGAACUGGCCAGGGGGGUCUGCCUGUCCUGCAAUGACAGCAUGUGGGAAACCUGUGUAUUCCCUUAGUCCUGCACUCUCCUAGAAGAGGACAGCAAGAGCUCUCCUGGGGCAGGCAGCUGGGGACCAGCAGCUGCUGCUCAGUCAUGGCUGGCUUUGGGAGCCCUCUGCUGUGAGAAUGGUCUUAAAAUGACACCUCAAUGGGGCUGUGCCCUAAAAGCAUACAGUGAGGAAGGGUGAAAUGAUGGGCUCUUUCCUGCCCUCCCUGAGCUUGCCAGGGCAGCUCCAUCUUCUCAGCCCUUAGGUAUGACCCGUUUGGUGCCUUGGUGGAGCUGCUCCAUUCCCAAGGCACAAGCGCUGAUGUGAAUGUUCCAUGCUCUGUUGCUCAUGAGGACAGCAGCACAUUCGGUCCCAGUGAAGGUGGGGUGAAGGCACAACAGGCUCGCUGUGCUGGCAGGCAGGAAGAGCAUUUCUGGGAAGCCUGUGGCCCACAUGGCUCACGCUGACCUUGGGGUGGGUUUGGCAGCAAACACUGUGGAGAGCUCAGGAAAAAAAAGGCCCCAGCCUGGGACUGGCUCCAAGCCUGGACUCAGCUCAGAGCUGGAUGACAAACACAGCCCCAGCAGGUCACAGGAUGGAGAUGGGACCGGUCCAGCUCCCAGGAGAGCACUGCUGCUGCUGCACACAGAUGAUGGGAGAGGCCUCUAAGACAGAGACUUGGACCCUGAGGGGACCUUAUACCUCCCUAACAUCACUUAGAGGUUGAUGGUGGGUCAAGCUGUGUGGAGUGAGGGGCUGGGAGCCCACUGCUGCUCUGAGACUCUGGCCCAUGAACUACUUCUGGAGCAGAGAUGGUGACUCCAGCAGCUGCUUUCUUUUGCCAGGAAGCUAAUGAGGUCCAGGCUGCGAGUCCACAGCCCUACAGCUAGGCACAUCACCCAGGAAGCCAGAGCAAGACCCCAAAUUUGGUCAGACUUCCUCCACACACAAAAAAAGCCCUGGCUGGACUUGGGAGCAUGGAGGGAGAGCCAGGCUGUCAGAGUCAUGCGUUUGCCUGUGGGAUACCAGGAGAGAAAGGACUGAUCCUGACCCAGCUCAUGGCAGGGAGGGAUAUCAUUGCCUGGGUGUGACCAGCAAGUAGGGAUCCCUCCAUGCAAGGACAUGGAUGGACAUGGUGUGGAGCCGAGGGGGCUUGAUGCACCAGGAGCACCCAGAGCAGGGAAAUUUGGGGAGUAUGGGUGGGAUGGUUGGAGGGGAUGUGGGACAGCAUGCAAGCCUGCAAUGGGGAGGGCUGUUGCUUUUUUUUGAGGGGGCUCUAUGCAGACUCACCUAUUU